AUGAAACCAGGCAACACACAGGUCUCAGGUGCCAUAUGUGACCCUGUGCUGACCCAGACUUCAUCCCCCGUGUCUGCAGCUGUGGGAGGCACAGUCACCAUCAAUUGCCAGUCCAGCCAGAGUGUUUAUGGUAACAACGAAUUAUCCUGGUAUCAGCAGAAACCAGGGCAGUCUCCCAGGCUCCUGAUCUAUUAUGCAUCCACUCUGGCAUCUGGGGUCCCAUCGCGGUUCAAAGGCAGUGGAUAUGGGACACAGUUCACUCUCACCAUCAGUGGCAUGCAGUGUGACGAUGCUGCCACUUACUACUGUGCAGGCGGUUAUAGUAGUAGUACUGAUUGUACCACAGUGUUCCAAGCCCUACAAAAACCCCCCAGGAAAGCAGAAGUGUGA